CUCGUCGUGAGUGUGAGUUAAAUUCUUUCUUCCCCAUCAGAGCAGAAUCUGACUCUUUUUAAAUCUCAUCUGUUAACGAUGAUUGGUCCUUCUGCCUUAGUGUUUGUAAAAACAUUAACUCGGCUGACCGCAUGCAGCUAGGUGGGGAGCCGCAUAGGCAGCACGCUGUGGGUGCAGAGAGACCUGGAAGGCCAGCAGAGAUGUAAUGUGCUCAUUAUUUAAGGCUCACUAAUAAUCGCAGGAGUUCUGUCUGGGUUGCCAGUUUUUAGAUUUGUGUGUUGAAACAUCUUGAACAAAAUGUUAGCGAGAGCAUUUCUGCAGCAUCCUGCUGACUGAAUUCAAGGUGCUGCCGUGUUUGCCAUCUGCCUGCGAGCUCACAGUGGUAAUUAUAGUGAGUCUUCCAAGUGCUGGAACGAGAGGUUUUGUGAGUCAGCAACCUGAUGGAGGUGACAGACACAAGCCUCUGCCCAGUGGUGCUGCAUGGAGUGACAUGUGGCUUCAGGACAACCUUCUGGAAGGUGCCAGGAGCCUCUGUUGAACAUUCAGUGCCCUCAGAAUCCUGUUGGUAUGAGUGGGAACUGAAAACUUCUGGUACUGAAGAGGAGGGCUUUAACUCUGAGGUGCUGCAGACAAGAAAAUGCAUUCCUGUUCCAGAACCUCCAGGUGUACAUAAGGAAAGAAACUGGACAGAGCAGAUGGGCAAAGCAAGUAUCAGCAUGCACACCUUUUCACAGGGAGUAUGUAAUCGCCAGCAUUUCACCUGUGCAGAAUCAGACAGAACUUUCUCAUUGCAUCCAACAGUGCUCUCUGCUGGUUAUGGGAUCAAGAUGCCUUGGCUGGCGUUCGCCCCACAUAACUGUGAGAGCAGAAAAUAA
rnacentral:lncRNA from 1 species